UCUUCAGGGCAAUCUUGAGGAGUUUCAAACUUCCCAUCCUCUAGUCACCACGUCUCUACAGGGGAGGCUCUUCCUUGCUUGAAAUAAAAGGCAAGCAGUUCCUGGCCUGUGAAACCCCAGUAUGAGCCUGUCAGUAUGCUGGCCCCAGUGCUGAGGGACAUCAUGGGUUUUGAUUCCAGGUUCCUGUCCUGAGACCACAGCAGAAAGUGCCUUGGAUGAAGGUGUGUAAGAU